UAUAUGUAUAUAUUCAUAUAUAUAGUAAAAUGUAUAAUAUAGAUAGAAAACAAGAGAAAUACGUUUCGUUGUUUUCUAUGUAUUAGGCGUCCGUGUUUAUAUAUAUUUUUUA
rnacentral:ribozyme from 1 species